UAACGCGUGAGGAACCUGCCUCAAAGAGGGGGACAACAGUUGGAAACGACUGCUAAUACCGCAUAAGCCCACAGCUCGGCAUCGAGCAGAGGGAAAAGGAGCAAUCCGCUUUGAGAUGGCCUCGCGUCCGAUUAGCUAGUUGGUGAGGUAACGGCCCACCAAGGCGACGAUCGGUAGCUGGUCUGAGAGGACGACCAGCCACACUGGGACUGAGACACGGCCCAG
rnacentral:rRNA from 1 species